AUGGAGGCUGAUGACUGGGAGGAGUUACAGUUGAAAGCAGCUGGGACUAUACGGUUGUGUCUGUCGGACCAGGUUAUUUAUCAUGUAAUGGAUGAGAAUUCGCCGCAGAAGAUCUGGGAGAAGCUGGAAAGUCAGUUUAUGUCCAAGACUGCGAUGACCAAGGUGUAUCUGAAGCAAAAGUUGUAUGGGAUGAGGAUGCAGGAGGGGUCAGAUCUUGUGGAGUAUAUGAACGCCUUUAAUCAAGUUGUGACUAGCAUGCUUGGGUGCGACGGUUGA
rnacentral:rRNA from 1 species